GCUCAACAGAAAUUGCCAGUUUUACCAAUUCCAUCUAGCAUAUUUUGAUCAAGAAAAGUCAAGGUUGAAAAGUGCGUUUGCUCUUAACCGCUCUGAAGGUGUUAUUGGUUCAGAAGUUUGUUUGUUGCAUUUGCUACUUUAGUGUUUACAUCUUCUCAAUCCAUUCCGUUGGACUCAAGCACGGAAAUGUCUCCUUGGCUUGAAUAUGAUGCUUCAAAUUUUCAAAGCCGCCUCACUUCACUUCACUUAAGGGAUGGACUUCUUACAGAGAAGCUUUACCGACUUCACAAUGUCAAAUACUGUUUUCCAUCAUUAAUUUUGCGACAUUGUUUCAAACCUUUAACACUCAUUAUCCCAUCCAGGGUCCCAAUCUUGACUCCUCAAAGUAUUAUGAUGCAAUAACAUUGUGAGCAAUUAUGCCAAGCGAAAUUGAAAUGCCCAGGCUCAUUAUUGAAAAAUGUUGACAAUAAAUCUUCAAAUGUUACGCAUUAGGACUGCUUGAGUAAAAAAAACUCCAUUUCUCUUGAAGAUCAAGAAUGGCCUGGAUGGGGUAAACCAUAAAAUAUUGGUCAUCUAAAAUUUUUGUAAAAGUAAUUGUCACGAGUAGCACCAUUACAUUUUUUUUCGAGUAAUGGUUGUGUAACGAAUUACUAUUUUUGAUUAAUGUAACGUAACUGUAAUCGUUCCUUUUAUUGAGGAACUACUAAUGACCUGGCUAAGGGAGAGAAACACAUCCGAGCUGCCCGUGUGAGCUCCGGGAAAAAGCGGCAAAUUCAAAUCAAUGGUAGCUGACUGUCAAGUAGGUUCUGUUUGCAUGUUGCACUUCGACGACAGAUUUGAAACCUAUUGUAGUCCAUUUAAUAACUAACCUCAUACUAGAGGAGUGGACAUCAGCGGAGCUAGGCCGAUUUUUCUUUUUGACAUAGCUAUUUGAUGGAGGUAUAAAUGGAAACACGCAGUAAAGCACUGCCAUUUGAGGUCAAACUGCACACAUUUUAUUUUAUGGUAGUAUCCCCUUGUGACUUUUGGGGAGCUGAAAUGUUGUUUUCACAAAGUGGCCUCGCUUCGCCAAUUGCCAUGUCCAAUCCUCCUGUUAAAGGCAUCCUUGGUUUAGACAACCAUUAUCAAACACUGCUACCAAGUGUUUGUUUGUUUGUUUGUUUGUUUGUUACGAAGUCAGAUGGCAGCUCUCUCGCUCGGUCUGCAAUCUGAAUAUGGUUGUCCCAAUUGAGGGAUAUUCCCGCUUCAUCGUCAAAGCCGACAUUAUUUAUUACUUAACCCUCGGGAAUGACCGCAGGUUCGCCCAUUUAAGCUGUUAAAGCAGCAACUCAUGCUGUAAUUAAAAAACCGCAAUGAAGCCUGAACUCGGCUUCCCUGGGAUCAAACCAGAAUUCGCAAACUGGAAAGCGGUUGCUCCACCAAUACGGUACCCCAACAAGCCUAUUGCUACCAAGUAUGAAUCUCAAUUAUACAAUUUCAAUCGAGGCAUUUGAUUAUGCGUCAAAAUACGAAUUUAUUUCAUACUUUCUACACUAAUUAUCAUUUUCUAACUUUUACUCGCUCAUGAUGUAUUUGGCCAUUGAAUUUGGACAAGGCCAGUGUCAUAUAUCGGGAACAGAUAACAUGCGGACCUAGUCGAUGCACCAGACUGUAACUAGGCGCUCCGUGGAAAAUCCGUGAUUAUAGACGCAAUAACGUAGGGCAUGGGCUACAGCGUGAUCUAGCACCCUCAUUGCGGUACCAACAUAUCAAAAAAUAAAAAUUAUUUGGGUUGAAGGUUUUUGAAUCCAGUUUUGGGGCAAGCUUCAACUCGUUGGAAUUUGACUCCAGGAACAACACCUUAACUUGCCUCUAGGACGAAUUUCACAGAGGAAGAUUGGCCUCGAUCUGAAAACUCUCUGGGACUCUAAAUUCAUUCCCAUUGCUCAAGAAGGCUCGGAUGUUCUUCAGAAGAUGAGCCCUAUCAGCCAGAUAUGACAGAGCCGCACCUUCCCAAGAUGGAUUUGGAAUGCAAGUUGUCCAACCUGAAUCUCUCCCGACAAUCACACCGAACUCUCCACAUGGCCAAAUUGGGGGUUCCCAUAUCACUGGUAACGGCAACUAUUUUCAGCCCAAUCUUGGAUGCUUCAUGAAUGACAUUUGUGAUGAUAUUGGCAUAUACCUUACCGCUGGUGCUGCUACCGGUGUAAGAGUAAGCCACUGUCUGCGUUCAUCGGGCGGCGAUCCCUCCUAACAUGACAACCAGGGCUUUUGAGGCAUCACCAUCAUGAUCAGUUGUGUUGGUCCAUCGCAGUCUGUAAUCGGAUUUUGCCACACACUUCUCUUCUCCAUGCAAGCAAUCUGAUCUUACGCAAAAAUGAUUGAUGAUGAGCCAACCUUUGCUUUGUGAAGUUGAGUGGUUAGUACUUCUAACCGUGACUGCAUCCGCUGAACUGAUUGAUUGCUCAUCUUUAAUCUCUGUCUCAAGGUCUUAAUAGUCUUUCCGUUCUUCUUGACAUUUUCAUUCCACCAUUUGGCCUAGAGAAAGAAAUGUAACUUUAAGGUUAUUCUAAUACAUAAUAUGAUAGAAGGAAACCCGUGAAACGAUGACCAAAAGUUUUGAAUUUCCUAGAAUAUCCUCGGUCCUAAACCUAACCUAAAAAAUGUCUUUCCGACCCCUACUUAUCACAUUAUGGUGUUUUAAAGGUACUAGAGACUCCGAAGAGAACCACCAACAAUACAACAACACGAGAUUGAAUGAUGAGCAAUCGUUUUCGUUAGACUACCUCGUCUGAAAACAUGUGGCAUUUGUGGCACAUGGUUGGAACCUCGUGUGAAAAGAUUAUUGCAGGAUUGUCCUCAAAAGUCUCCUCAAAUUCAUUCUCCUCUUGGCGUGAUGUUUCUUCAAGCUUGGGGAUAAGCUUGAAGUUUGUUCCAAUGCUGUUGGAAGUGGGGUCUUG